rnacentral:rRNA from 1 species
GACGAACGCUGGCGGCGUGCCUCACAAAUGCAAGCCGAACGGGAAGGCCCUGCUUUUGUGGGGUGCUCGAGUGGCGAACGGGUGAGUAACACGCGAGUAAUCUGCCCUAGGCUUUGGGAUAACGUCAGGAAACUGGGGCAAAUACUGGAGAGGCGCUCCUGCUGCGUGGUGGGGGUUGGAACGCUGCGGCGGUUGGGGAUGGACUCGCUGCUUAUCAGAUUGCGGGUGGGGUAGUGGCUUACCAAGGUUUGGAAGGGUAGCCGUCCUGAGAGGGUGACCGGCCACAUUGGGACUGAGGUACGGCCCAGACGCCUCCGGGAGGCAUCAGUGCUGAUUAUUGCACAAUGGGCGGAAGCCUGAUGCAGCAACGCCGCGUGCGUGAUGACGGCCUUCGGGUUGUAAACCGCUUUCGCCUGUGACGAUGCGUGAGUGACGGUAAUGGGUAAAGAAGCACCGGCUAACUACGUG